rnacentral:rRNA from 1 species
AACGAACGCUGGCGGCAUGCCUAACACAUGCCAGUCGAACGAAGGCUUCGGCCUUAGUGGCGCACGGGUGCGUAACGCGUGGGAAUCUGCCCUUUGCUUCGGAAUAACAGGUAGAAAUGACUGCUAAUACCGGAUGAUGUCGCAAGACCAAAGAUUUAUCGGCAAAGGAUGAGCCCGCGUAGGAUUAGCUAGUUGGUGGGGUAAAGGCCUACCAAGGCGACGAUCCUUAGCUGGUCUGAGAGGAUGAUCAGCCACACUGGGACUGAGACACGGCCCAGACUCCUACGGGAGGCAGCAGUGGGGAAUAUUGGACAAUGGGCGAAAGCCUGAUCCAGCAAUGCCGCGUGAGUGAUGAAGGCCUUAGGGUUGUAAAGCUAUUUUACCCGGGAUGAUAAUGACAGUACCGGGAGAAUAAGCUCCGGCUAACUCCGUG